GGUUGCGAUCAUACCAGCACUAAUGCACCGUAUCCCAUCAGAACUCCGCAGUUAAGCGUGCUUGGGCGAGAGUAGUACUAGGAUGGGUGACCCCCUGGGAAGUCCUCGUGUUGCAACCCC
rnacentral:rRNA from 1 species